GGUGGUGAGCCAUUGGAUACGGGUAAAUGACUGUACCCGCGGACUGAAAAUAGGAGUAUUUCUACUCCUAGAACUGUGAGUAAACCUAUUAUCGUCUGAAUUAUCUAAAGUGAUUUUUAUCCAAUUUUGUGAUUUUAUGGAAAAUGAGUUUAAAUGGUAAAUCUUUAUGUUUUAUAAACAAAAUGUGAUUUAAUAAAGUGAUUUCAUAAAAUUGUCUUGCAAUUGAAUGAUGGCUUUGAUAAUUUGAGUAAUUGGAGACCAAGUGAUUUAUUGUAAAUUAUGAUUUGAAUUAAAUGGCUUGUGAUAAAUUGGCAUGAUUGGCUGAAUUUAUACAUGUGUUGAAAAAUAUGAACUGUCUGUUUUGCCUUGAUAAAUUGGUUAGUAAUGUAAUUUCCAUGCUAUGCCAUUGAGAUUUGAUCAAUUGGUGGAUUAAAGAUUAGCUACUGCAGUGGUGGGGGGUUUCGUGGACCAGCCUAUUAGAGGGGCACAGUAAACUCCUUUAUAUUCUCACCUCGGUCGUAGAGGCACGUAGGGUAUCUCCUGAGGUGGGCUUUUUGAGUGCACUUCACGUUAACCACCGCGUGAGAGUGAGACUCAACCAACGCCAAGGAACGACUGUGUCUCAAAUGCGAAAACAUGUUUAUGGGUAUGGGACAUUUAACAGCCUGGGCGAUCUCAGUGGGAUACCUUGACGAAGGUACCCGCGAGAAUGAUUUUGGCAGGAGCCAAGUUUUGAGAAAUUCACGAGCCAUAUUGAUUUUUUGGUUGAAAUGAAUAUUCGUGUUGUGAAAAAUUUGCUGAAAUGAACUAUUUUUAAUUGUCUCCCUUUACUCGCCUUUAGAUAGUUUAAAUGGUGUCUGUUUACUCACUGGGAUUAUAUAAUCAUAAUCUCACCCCUCUUCCUAUCCAUUUUUCAGGCUCAGGAUAGUUUGUUGAUAGUUGAUUAAGACGACAAUUAAUCUCGGAGUUGCAUCCUAGAAAGUAAGGGUUCGUAGCCCUACACCUUCUUGGUUAGUUGGGAGUCCACGUGUCACUGUAAAAGUAAUUUUACACUUAAGUUAUCUGAUUUAAAGUAUGUAUGAACAUAUUUAUCUUUUACACCAUGUUUUUGACGAGUUUCGGUAUUUUUGAAGAAAAAUGACGAAAAUGCCCCUGUGAGCCAAA
rnacentral:lncRNA from 1 species